ensembl:lincRNA
GCCCAGCCUCCUCAUUAGGGUUUUAUGAGUGCCAGAGAAGCCCACUAAGCCCCUUAAAUAUCAGGAAACCCCAUGGGAAUGUGUCUGGUUAUCACUCCUUGGUCCCAGCUCGGGAAUGAGUUAUACCUCCUAUGGCUCACAGGAGGUACCCAAAUGGAAGGUAGAGUUCAACCUAGGUCGGGGGUUGAGCUGUGUUCCAUCUUCUUGUACUACUUGUCUAAACCGAGGGGAAGGAUGUGUGACUAAGAGAAAGUUCUGUACUGUCUCCUUCCCAAGGAUCACUUUCUUUUUUCUUUUUUUCCCCCCUGGAGUCUUACUCUGUCACCAGGCUGGAGUGCAGUGGCAAGACUUCAACUCACUGCAACCUCUGCCUCCUAGGUUCAAGUGAUUCUCCUGCCUCAGCCUCCCAAGUAACUCGGAUUACAGUCGCCUGCCACCAUACCUGGCUAAUUUUUGUAUUUUUAAUAGAGACGGGGUUUCACCAUGCUGGCCAGACUGGUCUUGAACUUCUGGCCUCAUUGAUCCACCUGCCUCGGCCUCCCAAAGUGCUGGGAUUACAGGCAUGAGCCAGAACACCGGGCUAUAAGGAUCACUUUCAAUUACAGAAACAUUUUUCCUCCCAUUUCUAAUCCUCUAUUCUAGCUAAAACUGAGCAAGAGGUUGACAUUAUAUUACCCCAGUUCUCCAACCUGACAGUCACGGACUUCUUCUAGAAGCUGGGCCCCUUAUCUGUGUUUUUGGCUAACAAGCAGUGGAUGCCUCCUCGAAGCAUCCGCUUCACUGCAGAAGAAGGGGACUUGGGGUUCACCUUAAGAGGGAACGCCCCCGUUGAGGUUCACUUCCUGGAUCCUUACUGCUCUGCCUCGGUGGCAGGAGCCCGGGAAGGAGAUUAUAUUGUCUCCAUUCAGCUUGUGGAUUGUAAGUGGCUGAUGGUGAGUGAGGUUAUGAAGCUGCUGAAGAGCUUUGGUGAGGACGAGAUCGAGAUGAAAGUUGUGAGCCUCCUGGACUCCACAUCAUCCAUGCAUAAUAAGAGUGCCACAUACUCCGUGGGAAUGCAGAAAACGUACUCCAUGAUCUGCUUAGCCAUUGAUGAUGCUGACAAAACUGAUAAAACCCAGAAAAUCUCCAAGAAGCUUUCCUUCCUGAGUUGGGGCACCAGAAAGAACAGACAGAAGUCAGCCAGCACCUUGUGCCUCCCAUCGGUCGGGGCUGCACGGCUUCAGGUCAAGAAGAAGCUGCCCUCCCCUUUCAGCCUUCUCAACUCAGACAGUUCUUCAUACUAA